rnacentral:rRNA from 1 species
UACGUAGGGGGCAAGCGUUGUCCGGAAUUAUUGGGCGUAAAGAGCGUGUAGGCGGUUCGAUAAGUUCGCUGUAAAAGUCAAGGGCUCAACCCUUGAAAGCCAGUGAAUACUGUCGGGCUAGAGUACGGGAGAGGCGAGUGGAAUUCCUGGUGUAGCGGUGAAAUGCGCAGAUAUCAGGAGGAACACCUAUUGCGAAGGCAGCUCGCUGGAACGUAACUGACGCUGAGACGCGAAAGCGUGGGGAGCAAACAGG